UUUUUUUUUUUUUUUUUUUUUUUUGAGAUGAGCUCUCUAAAGACAUGUUUACAUACUUCUGUCAGCAGAUGCUUGCCUUGGAUGGACAGAGAAGUGCUUUAAAAUAUAGGUGGUGAAAACCCUCUGUGAACUGGGAGAGCAGAUAAAUACAUGUAUGUUGACAAAGUAACAAAGUGCAGAUGUUCUAGGAAAAACAGACCUCUCCUUUAUAUGCCUAAAUAUAGAUGUUGAUGUAGAAACUCGAACUUUUCCAUCAGUCCCUACAAGCAAGCAAAAUGCUGCCGCCUUAUAUAAUGUUGAAACCAAAUUUUUAUCUCCUGAUUAGAAAAAAAACGAGUAUGAGCAAAACAAAAGCAAUUAGGACAAGGUGGGGCCAUGAUUAGGUAUCAGAUGUUGCUAAGUGUCCAGACAGUCAAGUGAAAGAACGCUCUUUUGAAAUGCCUACACAGGUGGGCAGGUUAUACGGAAAUAAAAUUUCAGCUCAUCUGCUCAUAUGACAGGAUGUACAUCUAUCCUUUCUUGUUUUUCCAAUUCUGCUAAGAUUGGAAAUCUAAAUUAGAAAAAAAAAAAAACCAAAAUGUUUUUCUUUCAUUUUUCUUUAAACUAGGAAAAACAAUUAUUCCACUUUUUCAAAGUUCAUCCUUAUCCCAACUACUUCAUUGUUGCCAAGACUAAUAGAUCUGCAGUCCCUCUUGAGCUUUUAGGAAUUGUCCCAGUUUCAUUUCACACAACUGAUCUGCCCUGGAGGCUAUUUUAAGCCAUCACAACAUCAGGUUCAGACAGUUCAGACAUAAUAAUAUAUUAUCGCAGAACAUUCUGCAUUGAUAAUUAAAUAGGGAUAUGAAAUUAUCUUUCACUGUGGCAUAAAAAUAUAAUUAAGGCAUCUUCCCAAACUCUGUAGCAUGAUAAACUUUUUCAGGUAUGCUGAACAAAACAAUCCUCUAACAACUGUCAGCAUGUUCCAGAAACAAUUCAGCAGCAUAUCAUAACAACAAAAUAUUUUAAUAUAAGCAGAGAUGCUAUGAAAAAGAACAAGCUGCAAAAAAUAGCUCAUUUCUUCCCUUGUAGAUUCUGUGCCAGUGUCUUUUCUUAUUGGGAGCAUGGCUGACAUGCUUUAUUGGGUGACAGCUCCUGCCCAGCUGUACCUGGGAUGUCACUUGGGUGGAAGGUCCCUUCCCUGUGCUGCAUAACCCUGUAAAGUUUGCAGCCCCCUUUUUGUAGCUUGAGCAGGGACAUAAAUAUGUGGGUUUUUUCCUCAGUGGGUUAAAACUUAGCAUGUCCCAUUGACAUAAUCCAAGUACAGUAAACAGAAUGAAAAGAUCAGAGAAUGAGGCUCAUUGUCUUCUGCAGUACAGAAAGAAAUAGUCAAUGAAAGCGUUUUCUGUGAUCAAGGGUAGAUGUUCAGUAAUUUUGGCGUUACACCAUGCACAGAUACAGGCCAAAGACAGCUAAGAGGUGAUUCAAGUACAAGGGGGAACUGGACUGAUGCCUUGUCAAAAGCCCAGUAAUAAUCCUCACCUUUCUAAAUUGUCUUUCAGUUAUUUUGAAAUUCCUCUCAUGUCCACCAAGAUGGCUUUUCUUCUAACUUUCCCCUACUUGGUCUCAGUGCCAUUUACCGUAAAUACUUCAUGCAUCAACUUUCCUUAUCCACAUGCUCUCUCAAAAUGUCCUUUAAUUUGCACUGUUCUUCUGCUCAGUUUGUCAGAUCUGAAAGACAAAAAUUUCUAAAGAAAUUGGCAAAACAACUAUGUGUUAGUGAAUGUCAUUCCCUCAACUGUUACUGUGUAGACGUGAGUUCUCACUUAGGCUGCUGUUGCUGGGAAUUUGAGAGAGUUGCUUCCCCAGCUACAGAGCAUUGACUACUCUUUUCUGGUAACCUCGUGUUGGUUCAGACAGAACUUCUGUUACAUAUACACAAAAGUAUAUGUAGUGCACAUUAAAGUUAGUGUAUACUUUUGUGUUAUUUACUAUGGUGUUGUAACUUUCAAAAACUGUCACCCUCCUAGGCCUGUCAUCAGUUACCUGGUAGACAGUACAUGGCAGUAUUUUACAGCAUUAUCCCAUCACUACAGCUCAUUGCCAUUGUACUUUAUCACCUUGGCAAACUGUAACUCAGAGCUGACUGUAGUUCUUGUGUGGAUAGGAGGGAGAGGCCAACAGGAGCCAUGUGGUUAGUUUUCCAGUGUGUAAUUAAGAGCAUAUCCUCCCUGAGUGGCAAUAGCUAAACCACUGCUGUUACUCCUCAGUUCCCUUUUCCACUUUCUUACUUGAAAUAGAAAUUAGUGAUCCAAUUGAAAGUGUAUUUUCUUAGGAGAGUUUGUUUACAAAAAUAUUUAAAGAUCUCUUUAGUCAGAAAUUAUAAGAAACUGUAUUAAGGUAAUCUCAAAAUAAAAUCUGCAGAUAAUUUAUCCCUGUUUUGUCCAAAAAGCUUAGAUUAAGUGAUAGAAGAAGAAAAGCCAACAGCUCCCACUCUGUAGUACUUUGUGACCCUUUUUUGUUUCUCAGUAUUUGCACUAAAACUGGGUAAAUAGUUUGGUUUGGUUAUAACAUUUUAAGAUGUAAAAAUAAAAUAUUUUCCUACACUGAGCUAUACCCAAGAUUUUUUCAACCUUCCUCACAAAUUAAGGAGAGUCCCAAACUAGCCAGCGGUUUGCAUUUGGAGGCACAUAGCAAGGAUGUGGAAAACUCUUCUCUAAAUGCUGCAUCCAUACUGAUUCUCUUGAUAUCCCUGCUUGGAACUGCAACACUUUGUGUAAACAAUUAAACACCCACUGGCCCAGGCAUUCGAGACUGGGUCCAUGUCCAGUGAAUGCCCCAAUCAUUCAGUGGUACUGCUGUUCUCUCUCUCUUAAUAUAGUUUUUGUUUGAAGCAUAUCAUGAGGUCUUUGAUUGAGACACAAACCCUAUACUCCUCAAGGCAAUAAUAUUUUUUGAAGAACAAGAUUGUUUUGUAGAUUAAUACUGACCCUUGAUUCCUAUGAAAGUAGUUAUGCCAUCAUUACCUUUUAUGCAUAUUUAAAAGGCAGGGCAGGGCAGGUCUUGAUGUUCCCAGGAAACAGAUUGUUUGUGUCAAAAAACAAUGCUGAAACAGUAAAAAAAAACUAAAAUAGAUAUAGUAAGUAAGAACUAUAUUGAAAAUCUCAUUUUUUAAAAAAGAGCAGCUCUCCCUGCCCUAUCCUGACAGCUCCCAGGUGAGUUAGAGCCUGGAAGGCAGUAGAGAGCCCCCCAGAAGCUGCAUGCAAAAUAGGAACAAGGUGAAGCAUAACCAGGGUUUUGUAUCACAAGUUACUUAAUCUCUCUGUGUCAUAUUUCAAAGUGUGAGAAGCAUUGUUUUGUUUUAUUUUCUUUAAAUUAUGUUUAUUAGCAUGUGAUAGAAUCUCAAUUCCCCUGACAGCCUGUCUUACUGCCCACAAACUAUGAGAAAUACACAACACUUGCUGAGGUGUUACUCCCCAAGUGAGGAAGGGGGAAGGACUUCUGAAGCAAAACAAGGAAAAUAAUUUGGGACUGCAAGAGCUGCAGUUUGCAGGAUGUCAAUCAAGCUUACUAUUCCUCUGCUUUGGAGAGAAAAAAAUCUUCUCCUACUGUUUCCCAGGAAGGAACAGCUGCAAGAACUGAAAGUGUCUGCAUCUAUUUUCCUCAGUAAACAUGGGAAUAUUUAGUUUCAGCAAAACCAGAUGGUUUACGCCCUGUGAAUAUGCUGGCAUUUGACACCAGCAGCCAGUUUCACAAAGUGCAUGCAGAGAGUGAGAAAGAACUCCUUUAAACUCUGGGACCUGACACAAGGAAUAAAAACUCUGAAGGCAGAAAUAACAGAUUGACUAAAAACCCAACCUUUAUGCAGGGAUCUCCAAGUGCUCGCUAAAUAUCAUUAAUCAGACUACAUAACAGUCCAUGAAAUGAUUAAAUUUUGACACACAUUUCUUACACUGAAGGUUACACUUAAAAAGAGAAGGUAAAUAAGUUCCUCCGGGUUAUGUGGUGAGUCACGGUCUGGUCUCCUGCACGCUCUGUCUACAUCUCUUCUCACUAAUGCGUCUCCAGUGUGCUGUGUCCUCAGCCAUAUUCCCAGGACACAAUUUUUAAAUGUGAAACCAUUACAGUUAAUAGUACAGGGACAGGGUUGCAGUGUUUGCAGCAUAAAUCACCACAGCUGGGGCAUCUGAGUGCUCUAUGGGGAAUUUAUAAUAUGCUAAAGAGAUUUAUGAACAGCCCUCAAACCUCUUGCUAAUGGUAGUUGCAGUGGGUGUUAAGUGACUGAAGAUUCUUAAUUAUUUGAUGAUUUUUAUUGAUUUGUGUUGUUAUUGCUUAACAUGACUCUGUAGUAACAAGGCAUCUGUCAAUCUGAAAGCAUUUUCCAGCCAGUGAAUUAUUGAAGUAUGUGGUUCUUAUAGGUUCUUACUGUCCUGUUGGACUGCUGGGAGGCUGAUGUGGUUUGCUCAAGAAUACUCAUAGCUUGCAGGGCAAGGCUACAGGGACUUUGGGCAUCGCAGUCACUGAUGGAUGCACCACAUGUUCCUGAGCCAAAUCUGCCCCUGCUGACUCUCUGUUGUCUGCUGCAUGUUAAAGCAGGAUUGGGAAGGAUUUCUUUCUACCUGCAGUUUCAGAGGGAACCUUCUCACAAAAGCACAUUAAUUCAUUACUUAGUGAAAUGUGUAUUUACAGUCAAUCACUAGAUAUUGCUUCUCCUUAGACCUACAGCCAUGAGCCCUGAAGGGGUUCUAGUCCUGGUUCAGGACACAGCAAAGGUCUGCAAUAUCUCCUUCAGCUUCCUGGAGAAGAGCCGUGUUGUGCUCCAGUUUAUCCCAUCGUCUGCAUGCUGGAGGGUGUGCCACUGAGCACACCUGCUCUGCCGUUGAGGCAAUGCUAUAAUUUAAUAUACUUUGUGAUCAGCAUUUUAAGAGUUUGAAUUUGCUAUUUCUCCAUUAUGUAAUUACAUAAUAAUAAUAAUUUAGCUAACAUAAUGUACGUGGAGUUUUGCUGUUGCUUCUUACGUAAAUUAAAGAUAUUUAGCAAUAUGUUGCAAAAUGGAUAUGUCUAUUUCUGAGAUGUAAGAUGUUACUUUUAUUCAGAAUUAAAUAAAAAGAAGCUGUUGGAAAGGCCUAUUUUACAAAGAAAUAACUACUUAAUUAUAACUCUUUAUCCCAUGGCUUAUUCACUAAUGUAGAAACUGCAGAGCUUCAAAGUGUUUAAAUUUUAGAAGAAGACCAAAAAAACCUCUCUGUAUUUCUGUCUCUUUAGAAAAAUUCAGAUACUUAAAUGUAGAUUCAGAAACUGAAAUUAUAUACAAAUGGGGAAUUUGAGCCUGAAUUUUGAAAAAGCAUCAUGAACAACUAACUAAACAUUAAGGAAAUAGUUUAUCUUUAGGUAGAAAAGAACACUUAUUUUAGUUGUUAAUCUGCUCUUAAGAAGCAGAGAUACUCUAUAUUUAAAGUAUGCUCCAGAAGAACUUCUAAAGAAAUUGAAAGUCAAAUUUAGAUAUCAAAAUGUGUCAGACAGCUUGACUUUUACCAAAUUGUAACUAACACAUCUCACUCCUAUUUUGUGGCAUUUUUAUUAACUAUUAAGUAAUCAAAUUUAACCCUGUUGUUCCAAAAAUAGUUCACUGGCAUACAGUAUGGCUUAGAAGAGCAGGAGGUGGGUGAGACCACAGCAAUGAGUCACAUUGACAGGUGUAAGCCUUGAGUCAGCAAAACCUGGCCUUACUCUCAAACCUGGGUGGGCUUGAUUCAGAGGAGGCCAUGGCUGGCAUUUGGGUUUGGGUUUGGGUUUGGGUUUGGGAUUGUACACAUGCUCUCACAAAAGGUCCGCAGAAACACGUGUGGUCAUGGCUGGCCAUGCUGCGCUUUCCCUGGUGCCAGCUCUGGCUGGAGCUGGUCAUUCCAAGCUCCUGCUCUUCCUCCCCACUGUGAUUUGCCAUCCUAGCCACCAUGCUGAUGUGUUUCUGGGACUGCACUGCAAGUCAGGUGUCUGCAGUGAUCCAGAUGAAUAACAAAUCCCUCUGGCUCUCUAGAAGUAGCUUUAACCCAUGUUGCUCUGGGUGAUCUGGUGUACAGCAGCCUCCCAAAGACACUGUCACAGCCCAGCUGAGGGCUGAACUCUGUGGUUUGAGGCUGAAAGUGGCAGUGGCUGGUGGAGGAGGGGGCUGGCUGAGCAGCCCCCAGAGCAAUGGUAUGGGGUAGCUAUACCAUCAGUGGGCUAGCAGGGAGGCUACAGCUCCCAGCUGCAGCUCUCGUGUCCUACUGAGUCAUCCCGUGACUCCAGAUAAGCCUUGUGCCUUAUCGUGCCUCAGCCUGCCACCUGCAAAUCAGUGAUAACAAAAUUUAAAUAAUUCAAAAGAACAUAGCAAGGCUUAAUGGAGGUUUGUAAUAUGUUUUGAACUCCCUACAUACAGUAGAGUGGAAUUUAAGGUAUCGCUGUUACGGAGCGUGUUGCUAGUAGUGCUGUCUUCCUUUAAUAAUCCCUGCAAACUCCCUGUCUUCCUACUCUCAUUAUCAGUGCUAGGCUUUGGUGUCAUUGUGUUGCUUGGACACCUUCUAAUUUAAAUUUCAUGUUUUGAUUUCUGGGUGAUAACUUCAAACACCAAUUUUCUUCUGCUACGCUAUGCAGCCUUUUGCUCAUUUUAAUGAAACCUAGCAACCACAAUGUAAAUUGGAAAUAACUACAGCCCAUUAGACUAUUGAAAUCCCUGACGAUUUGAAUUAUUCACUAUUAACAGAACUUGUAUAAUUAUAGGUUAAGAUAUCACUUAGGCAUUUAGCAUACAUCAGCUCCACUGCUAAUUUUUAGCUCUUGAUCUGUAUUAGUAACCUCAGCUUGCUAAAUUAAAGGAUAUGCCUCCAAUUAGCCUAAAUUUAACAUUCAAGAACACAUCUCUAGUGGGAUGAUGCUUAUAAGUUUAGAACAUCCAGGCAAUUUCAGCUGAUCUACAAAGUCUGUAUCACAAGUGAAAGAGAAAACAUUUUCUUACAAACACUUCCGUGACUUUCACAGGGAUAAAAGAAUAAAGGACAAAGCUGCAUUUUGUGUAAGAUCCAAAGCCAAAAGUGUGACAACCAUUGCAGUCCUCUGCCCUUGUAGGGAGCCCCAAAAAAGUUUGUACCUGGGACAGAGGCAGCUGGGUCACUGAAUGAGGACCUUCAGAAACCUAAACACUUAGUCUGAGGCAACAAGAAAGGAUUGAGAUGCACAGAAAAAAAGGAAGAGCACUGACAUUGUUAGCAAAAAAAAGCCAAACCAAAACAGUAAACAACAAAACAAUAUAAAGUUGUUACUUUUCCCCAAGAACUUUGCCUGUGUUUAACACAGCAGAACACUUCUGUUUGUUCACUGGACAUGUUAGGCAUGUACUACAGUGCAGGCAGUUGUGGCACCUGUGCAGUGUGUGGUCCUCCUGAACAGAGUUUGGUGCUCUAAAAACAAAACUCUGCAUAAGCUGAGUGUCAGAAUUGAGCAGUGUAAAUCCCUCAUUCAAAGCUGAUCUCAUUUUUUGGGAUUGUUCCCAGGAAUCUUCAGCAUCUUCUUUCCAAUUAAAUGACCAGAACAGUUAGUGUGACAAAGAUAAAAUUUCAUAUACUCAUCCAUUAAAAAAAGACUGCUUUCUGAGUACAGGGUAAACUGUAAUUGUCUGGUUAGGGAUCUUAAUAACAGGAUUUCAGCUACCACGGAGCAGUUUUAACCCACUCUUGAGGGUCAGAAACUCAGCUGCAGUAUCUUCAGCUGUAUCUUCAGUAUCUUCAGUAACACUCAACAUUUGUCUUUUUUCUUCUGAGAGCAAUGAAAUUAUUUUCUGUUUCCUAGUGUAUAAAUUAACUUUUCUGUUCCACUAAGAAAGAAAGAUUCCUGGUAACCAUCUGUGUAUUUUUUCAUACCAUUUGAUACCUGCUUGAGAUUAUUUGCUUGCACUAGAUAGUCCUAGGUAAUCACACUUUCACUUCUGGAAGGCCCUUUUAAAAUAUGGAGCUAGAAAAUGGUUUAGGCUUCAAAGCAAAUGAUGAGCCUGUUCACACAUACUGGUCAGAAGUUGGAAUAGAAUCUUAAAGCUUUUGUCUUGGCCAACACUGAGAAAAAAUACAGCUUUUGACAGUGUUAUGUCUUCUAUUCAUAAAUUCAAUAAAAUUAAUUUCAGUAAACAUGAGUGAUCUUGUUAAUGAGGAGAAAUGUGUUGCACUUGGUAGCUGUAUAAUUGUGUCAUAAGUAUAAUUCAAAAAUUGGUUGCUAAUAUUGAUGAGUGUCUCCAUAGGAAAGCUCUGGGUGAUAACAAAUCCUCUUGCUGGGAAAUCUGCUUAUAAACUUAUAAUUACAGAGAAGGGAGAAAGCACUAAACUGGAAAAUGCUAUUAAAAAUGUAAUAGAACCCAAAUUAUUCAAAGAUUAGUCAUGACAUUCAUUCAGCACAACUUGUUGCAAAGUGUGGAUUCUAUUGGAAACAAUUGGAAUCAAAAGAUUAUACUACUAAUACCUAACUUUGGUGUAUCCAGAACAAAUGAAAAAGAAAAAA
ensembl:lncRNA